UACGGAGGGUGCGAGCGUUAAUCGGAAUUACUGGGCGUAAAGCGCGCGUAGGCGGUCAGGCAAGUCGGGUGUGAAAGCCCUGGGCUCAACCUGGGAAUUGCAUUCGAAACUAUCUGACUCGAGUAUGGGAGAGGGAAGCGGAAUUUCCGGUGUAGCGGUGAAAUGCGUAGAUAUCGGAAGGAACACCAGUGGCGAAGGCGGGCACCUGGGCCGACACUGACGCUGAGGCGCGAAAGCUAGGGGAGCAAACAGG
rnacentral:rRNA from 1 species